AGUGAACGCUGGCGGUAUGCCUAACACAUGCAAGUCGAACGGCAGCACAGUAAGAGCUUGCUCUUACGGGUGGCGAGUGGCGGACGGGUGAGGAAUACAUCGGAAUCUACUUUUUCGUGGGUGAUAACGUAGGGAAACUUACGCUAAUACCGCAUACGACCUACGGGUGAAAGCAGGGGAUCUUCGGACCUUGCGUGAUUGAAUGAGCCGAUGUCGGAUUAGCUAGUUGGCGGGGUAAAGGCCCACCAAGGCGACGAUCCGUAGCUGGUCUGAGAGGAUGAUCAGCCACACUGGAACUGAGACACGGUCCAGACUCCUACGGGAGGCAGCAGUAGGGAAUAUUGGACAAUGGGCGCAAGCCUGAUCCAGCCAUACCGCGUGGGUGAGGAAGGCCUUCGGGUUGUAAAGCCCUUUUGUUGGGGAAGAAAAGCAGCAGGUUAAUACCCCGCUGUUCUGACGGUACCCAAAGAAUAAGCACCGGCUAACUUCGUG
rnacentral:rRNA from 1 species